AUACCAAUUUGGAACCACUAGAUCUAGAUUCAAUGCCUAGUUUUCUUCUUAUUUCCCUGUCGCCACCAAUUAAUGCCUUCUCAAUCCGAGCUCAUCAUCAUCGAUGCUUGUUCAUUGGUGCUUUAAGCGUGUGAAAAGCAAGAAUAUGAAGGGUGAAGAUCGAAAUGAACCUUAGAUGACUCAAUCAGCUCGAUGGCUGGGGACUAACACUUACAAUGGGGUGGCCGCAUGUUAGGAUAAUCUUGAGUUUGAGUCUAGUUAGGUGCAUGUGUUUGUGUCCUAAUCAGAUUAGGAGUGUGUCUAUGCGUGAGUUAGUAGUUUUCAUGUGCAUGUGUGAUUCAGCGUGAGUUGUGUUCGAGUAGGACUAGUAGUCCGUAUGGUGUUGGGCUUGUGCGUGUAUAUAUACGCAUGCAACCCUCUAGCUUGUAAUCAAGAUCGUGGGAUUUGAGAAAGAAAAAAAGAAAAAAUAGAGGGCACGAUAUGCGCCUUGGCCAAAUAAUUGUGUGAUCGUUUCUGCGUGUGCGUCUUCAUGUCUUGAUCUUUGGGCAAACCCAACACGGCACAAUCCAAUGGUUGAGGCGGGUCGGGUCGAAUCAUGGCGUGGAGCUGAUGGCCUGACCAUGCCGUCAUGGUGUUGGUGAGGUGUCCUCCUUUGCUGGCGUAGGCGGCACGAUCGGGUGGUGGAGACCUCCUCCUUUGAUGCACGGUUCAUGCGUCACAGUCGGGUCGUGGAGGUACACAAGACAUCGGCAGUGGCGACAUAGUAACCUGAAAGGUGGAUCCAGAGCGGAAAGGAGGAGUGAAGUGGCGAUAAGAGGGAGAAGAGUGGAUGACCUCCCCAACCAUGCCAUAGUGGGUUGGGUGGAGGAGGGGG
rnacentral:lncRNA from 1 species